rnacentral:rRNA from 1 species
GCAGGUGAGACUACCCCCUAAUUUAAAGCAU